rnacentral:rRNA from 1 species
GAUCUGGCUCAGGAUGAACGCUAGCGGCAGGCCUAAUACAUGCAAGCUGAACGGUAAAUAUGUAGCAAUACGAUAUGAGAGUAGCGUAAGGGUGCGUAACACGUAUGCAAUCUGCCCUGGUACAGGGGGAUAGCUCGGGGAAACUCGAAUUAAUACCCCAUAGUAUAUUUGAGAGGCAUCUCUUGGAUAUUAAAGUCGCAAGGCGGUACAGGAUGAGCAUGCGUCUGAUUAGCUAGUUGGUGGUGUAACGGACCACCAAGGCGAUGAUCAGUAGGGGAACUGAGAGGUUGAUCCCCCACACUGGCACUGAGACACGGGCCAGACUCCUACGGGAGGCAGCAGUAGGGAAUAUUGGUCAAUGGGGGAAACCCUGACGCAGCGACGCCGCGUGAGCGAAGAAGGCCUUCGGGUUGUAAAGCUCUGUUGUAAGGGACGAAUGUCUAGGGUAGUAACUGACCUUAGAAUGACGGUACCUUACCAGCAAGCCCCGGCUAACUACGUGCCAGCCGCUGC